CAACGCCGCGUGAGGGAUGAAGGCCUCUGGGCUGUAAACCUCUUUUAUCAAGGAAGAAGAUCUGACGGUACUUGAUGAAUAAGCCACGGCUAAUUCCGUGCCAGCAGCCGCGGUAAUACGGGAGUGGCAAGCGUUAUCCGGAAUUAUUGGGCGUAAAGCGUCCGCAGGCGGUCUUGAAAGUCUGUUGUUAAAGCGUGGAGCUCAACUCCAUUUCAGCAAUGGAAACUAGAAGACUAGAGUGUGGUAGGGGCAGAGGGAAUUCCCGGUGUAGCGGUGAAAUGCGUAGAUAU
rnacentral:rRNA from 1 species